UAUUAGCUUUGGUAGCCCUUAAUAUUGGCUGGACCUGGGGGAGAAUGGUCAUAUGGGUCUGUGGCAGAACUGUAUAGUAAUACAAAGUGUCAAGGUCUAUCAAACCCAUCAGGUGCUGGUUAUUGGUGUAAGAGCAAUAUUGUGUAUGUCA